rnacentral:ncRNA from 18 species
GGGAAUCCGGUGCAAAUCCGGAACUGUCCCGCAACGGUGUGUUGGUGUGCCUUUGUGUACGUACGAGUCCGAAGACC